ACAUGAACAAGAUUUUCUGAAAGACUGCUAUGGAGUCUGAGAAAAAAUGUCAAAGAUUGAGGACAUGAAGAGGAAAGAACUGACAGAGGAGGUGAAGAAAGGUGAUCAGGAAGAGCCAUCAAAGUGUUAUCCUGGAAUUCAAGUGAAGACAGUGUUUCAAAGUGGAAAUGAACAGUGUCCUGUAACCCUCAGAGUGAGACUAGAGUCAGAAUGCAGGCUUUUCUCAUUUGAAAUCUCAAGGUAAGUCCAGGUCCUUACCUCCACCUAAAAGUUCUGCCAUCAAGGAACAUCUGCUCAUUAUCUUCUGUUCACACAUCAAAUGACUUCAAUGUGAUCCCUGGAUGUUCUCCAAAGAGCUGAAGGGAAAUAAAUAUUCUUUCUUUAUCACCAAAUACUUCAACUGCAGAGUGAUUGUGCUACCAAGGCCUGAAACUUCGGAAAAACCUGCAUAACACAAAAUAUAAAAUAUGCCACAGAGAGGAUCCAGAGAGCCCAUCUCCGGUCAGUUAUCUGUAUUUGUAUGUCAACUACAGCAUCAAAAAGCAUAGGCAUGGAUACUAAGGACCCCCUCUGUACACCAACGCCAGUCCAAAGGACAGUGUGUCACUGUGAACUGGAAAUUCAUCUCUCUUCUUCAAUUUUUUUCUACCUACUUUAUGCUUUAUCUCUAAGUUGAGGCUGUUUAUGGCCUCAUCCUCAAUUACCUUGUCCCUCAUUACUCCCAGUUAAUGGAGAUUAAGCUUUGUAUCAUGACUUCCUAACUAAAAUUGAAAUCACAAGACAUCACAUAAAUAAAGUUACAAAUGGAUUAGA
rnacentral:lncRNA from 10 species